UACGUAGGGUGCGAGCGUUGUCCGGAAUUAUUGGGCGUAAAGAGCUUGUAGGCGGUUUGUCGCGUCUGCUGUGAAAUCUCAAGGCUCAACCUUGAGCUUGCAGUGGGUACGGGCAGACUAGAGUGUGGUAGGGGAGACUGGAAUUCCUGGUGCAGCGGUGAAAUGCGCAGAUAUCAGGAGGAACACCGAUGGCGAAGGCAGGUCUCUGGGCCACUACUGACGCUGAGAAGCGAAAGCAUGGGGAGCGAACAGG
rnacentral:rRNA from 1 species